AGUAAUUUGACAAAUAAUUCAGUGCACCAGAUAUUGAGCUCAACAGUGACUGCCCAUUUUUAGAACGCCUCUGGUUCUGGAAGUGAAUUUCCUUUUCAUUCAGUUUAUCUACUCAUGUGUCUAUUAAUGAUGAAUUAAAAGCAGAUCCUCGCACAUGCAUUGGUGUGGCAGUGUCCACAGCCGGGAAGAAAGGUGCACAGAGAAAAGCUUCACUUUUUAAAGAAGCUGGCAAUGGCAUUCCUUCCAUCUUGUCUAUGCCUUUUCGGAUCCAGGAAGCACAGCCACUGCAGACAGGAUAAGUUCCAGGGGACCGUAAAUCUGCUCCUGUGACAGGAGCCCGACAUGAAGUAGCCAGAAAGUGGCGCAACAUCACUGCUGACAUGUCAUCCUGACCCAAGAGAUGUAGAAAAAGGAAAUGCACAAGGGUUUAUGCUGUGCACAAUGUUUGGAUGAAUCAAAACAGUCCCUCGCACUAUUUGAGGCACUGGAUCUGAGGACCACGCUCGUUGGUCUGCUGCUCCUCGGGGAACUGGUCGAUGUUUGGGUCCUAUCUGAUCAGAGUCUGGGGUUCUGUGUCCAUGGAGGGCGGUCCUCUGGUGAGACGGGAUGGCUUGACAAACACACCGUGGCCCUGGGGGCAGCGGAAGUACACCCUGCCUUGGACGGUCCCGUUGUGUUUACCUACGGGAGCGUCAAGCAUCAUUUAGGUUUCUACCAACGGACUUAAUCUCAGAAGCAAAAUCUUUAAAGGGACUCACCCACUGCCAUGUCCAGCUUCACACCAAUCCAGAUGCCCUUCGCAAACUCGACCCCUCCAACAUAGUGGACUGUUCCUCUCCUCUUCCCCACCCACACCUGCUCC